rnacentral:rRNA from 1 species
ACUGCUCAGUAACACGUGGAUAACCUGCCCUUGGGUCCGGCAUAACUCCGGGAAACUGGAGAUAAUUCCGGAUAACGCAUAUAUGCUGGAAUGCUUUAUGCGUAAAAUGGAUUCGUCUGCCCAAGGAUGGGUCUGCGGCCUAUCAGGUAGUAGUGGGUGUAAUGUACCUACUAGCCUGCGACGGGUACGGGUUGUGAGAGCAAGAGCCCGGAGAUGGAUUCUGAGACAUGAAUCCAGGCCCUACGGGGCGCAGCAGGCGCGAAAACUUUACAAUGCGGGAAACCGUGAUAAGGGGACACCGAGUGCCAGCAUCAUAUGCUGGCUGUCCAGGUGUGUAAAAUACACCUGUUAGCAAGGGCCGGGCAAGACCGGUGCCAGCCGCCGCGGUAACACCGGCGGCCCGAGUGGUGAUCGUGAUUAUUGGGUCUAAAGGGUCCGUAGCCGGUUUGGUCAGUCCUCCGGGAAAUCUGAUAGCUCAACUAUUAGGCUUUCGGAGGAUACUGCCAGACUUGGAACCGGGAGAGGUAAGAGGUACUACAGGGGUAGGAGUGAAAUCUUGUAAUCCCUGUGGGACCACCUGUGGCGAAGGCGUCUUACCAGAACGGGUUCGACGGUGAGGGACGAAAGCUAGGGGCACGAACCGGAUUAGAUACCCGGGUAGUCCCAGCCGUAAACGAUGCUCGCUAGGUGUCAGGCAUGGCGCGACCGUGUCCGGUGCCGCAGGGAAGCCGUGAAGCGAGCCACCUGGGAAGUACGGCCGCAAGGCUGAAACUUAAAGGAAUUGGCGGGGGAGCAC